ACCUGCAUCUGCCAACAAGACUGGAAGCAGGUGAGGCACACAGAGGGGGAGGCCCGCAGCUGCGUGGGAGGAGGGGUGGUCUGAGGGACGUGGGAUGCCGGGAAUGAGGCUGGUUUGCAGGUUGGCGCAUGGACAUUUUCCCAGAGAGGGACAGAGACGGAGAAGUUUGACGGUCUGGAAAGCAGAGACCAGCAGGGCUGACUGCUUGGGAGCACCAAGUAUCCGGACAGCGCCUCUCGGGAGGUCCGAGAAGAGAACCGCGGUCUGUUUCAGCACCGGGGCUCAGGACAGUUCCCAGAGGGCUCCGUUUCGGCUCCAGAACCCUGGACAGCUCCCCCAGCCUCCCAAAGCGCUAGGAUUACAGGCGUGAGUCACUGCGCCUGGCCCAAGUCUGGAAUUUUCAACAGGACAUGGGUGUCACUGUGCCCACGUGACAUUUGGGGAACCCAAGGCCCUGAGAAAGGCAGAAAAAUAACCCACGCAGGGGCUCUCAGCCCACAAAUGAAGCUCUUGGAAUGCACUCCCUCCACCUCCACCCAGAGCUCCCCACAACUGACCCUGCUUUCUUCUGCAAGCUCCAUUUCAUCAAGGGAAACGAUCCUUAUUGCCUCACCAUUUCCCACAUGAAGUCUGUAUUGACAUUCUCAUAGACCUGGGAUAUUGUGUCUGCAGCACAUAGUCCAAUUAUUUUCAUGUUAUCUACUGACAGCUCUAUUUGUCUCCCUGUUACACUGUGAGCUCCGUGAGGGCAGAAACAAUGUUUGUAUUUUCACUGCUGUGUCCCCAGUGCCUGGUCCGGGGCCCGGCACACAGCAGGCAUAUAAUAAGCAUGUGUUGAAUCAAUAAAGGCAUCAAAGAAUAAACCAAUACAUCAAUCAA
rnacentral:lncRNA from 1 species